rfam:Ovis aries breed Texel chromosome 6, whole genome shotgun sequence.
UCCCAUGUGGCUCAGAUGGUAAAGAAUCUGACUGCAAUGCAGGAGAUCCAGGUUCGAUCCCUGAGUUGGGAA